CAGUCGCCGCGGUAAUACGUGGGUCCCGAGCGUUGUCCGGAUUUAUUGGGCGUAAAGCGAGCGCAGGCGGUUAGAUAAGUCUGAAGUUAAAGGCUGUGGCUUAACCAUAGUACGCUUUGGAAACUGUUUAACUUGAGUGCAAGAGGGGAGGGUGGAAUUCCAUGUGUAGCGGUGAAAUGCGUAGAUAUAUGGAGGAACACCGGUGGCGAAAGCGGCUCUCUGGCUUGUAACUGACGCUGAGGAGCGAAAGCGUGGGGAGCGAACAGGAUUAGAUACCCCCGUAGUCCCUGUCUCUUAUACC
rnacentral:rRNA from 1 species